AGCGAUUCAGAGUUCGAUCCUGGUCAGAUUGAACGCUGGCGGCAUGCCUUACACAUGCAAGCGUCGAACGGCAGCGCGGACUUCGGUCUGAAGCGGCGAGUGGCGAACGCGAGUAAUACAUCGGAACGUACCCUGUUGUGGGGGAUAACUAGUCGAAAGAUUAGCUAAUACCGCAUACGACCGAGGGUGAAAGUGGGGACCGCAAGGCCUCACGCAGUGGUGGAGCGGCCGAUGUCUGAUUAGCUAGUUGGUGGGGUAACGGCUCACCAAGGCGACGAUCCGGGUAGCUGGUUUGAGAGGACGACCAGCCACACUGGGACUGGAGACACGGCCCAGAUCGCAUGGAGGCAGCAGUGGGGAAUUUUGGACAAUGGGGGAAACCCUGAUCCAGCCAUCCUCUGCGUGUGCGAUGGGCGGCCUUCGGGUUGUAAAGCACUUUUGGCAGGAAGAAACGGCACGGGAUAAUACCCCGUGCAACUGACGGUACCCGGCAGAACAAGCACUGCCAAUCUCGAUGUGCCAGCAGCUGCGGUAAUACGUAGGGUGCAAGCAGAAUGAAAUUAUCAUAAAGCGUGCGCAGGCGGUUCGGAAAGAAAGAUGUGAAAUCCCAGAGCUUAACUUUGGAACUGCAUUUUUAACUACCGAGCUAGAGGUGUCAGAGGGAGGUGGAAUUCCGGCGUAGCAGUGAAAUGCGUAGAUAUGCGGAGGAACACCGAUGGCGGCAGCCUCCUGGGAUAACACUGACGCGCUCAUGCACGAAAGCGUGGGGAGCAAACAUAUUUGAUACCUCAGAACACGCCCUAAACGAUGUCAACUAGCUGUUGGGGCCUUCGGCCUCGGUAGCGCAGCUAACGCGUGAAGCGAACUGGGGGAGUACGGUCGCAAGAUUAAAACUCAAAGGAAUUGACGGGGACCCGCACAAGCGGUGGAUGAUGUGGAUUAAUUCGAUGCAACGCGAAAAACCUUACCUACCUUUACAUGUCUGGAAUCCCGAAGAGAUUUGGGAGUGCUCGCAAGAGAACCGGAACACAGGUGCUGCAUGGCUGUCGUCAGCUCGUGUCGUGAGAUGUUGGGUUAAGUCCCGCAACGAGCGCAACCCUUGUCAUUAGUUGCUACGAAAGGGCACUCUAAUGAGACUGCCGGUGACAAACCGAGGAAGGUGGGGAUGACGUCGUCCUCAUGGCCCUUAUGGGUAGGGCUUCACACGUCAUACAAUGGUCGGGACAGAUGGUCGCCAACCCGCGAGGGGGAGCCAAUCCCAGAAACCCGGAUCGUAGUCCGGAUCGCAGUCUGCAACUCGACUGCGUGAAGUCGGAAUCGGUAAUCGUGAUCAGUACGUCGCGGUGAAUACGUUCCCGGUCUUGUACACACCGCCCGUCACACCAUGAGUGGGUUUUACCAGAAGUAGUUAGCCUGCACCGUAAGGAGUGGCGAUUACCACGGUAGGAUUCAUGACUGGGGUGAAGUCGUAACAAGGUAA
rnacentral:rRNA from 1 species